rnacentral:rRNA from 1 species
GAUGAACGCUCGCUACAGGCUUAACACAUGCAAGUCGAGGGGAAACGACAUCGCAAGCUUGCUUUUGAUGGGCGUCGACCGGCGCACGGGUGAGUAACGCGUAUCCAACCUGCCCAUCACUUGGGAAUAACCUUGCGAAAGUAAGACUAAUACCCAAUGAUAUCCCACGAAGGCAUCGGAAUGGGAUUAAAGAUUUAUCGGUGAUGGAUGGGGAUGCGUCUGAUUAGCUUGUUGGCGGGGUAACGGCCCACCAAGGCAACGAUCAGUAGGGGUUCUGAGAGGAAGGUCCCCCACAUUGGAACUGAGACACGGUCCAAACUCCUACGGGAGGCAGCAGUGAGGAAUAUUGGUCAAUGGGCGAGAGCCUGAACCAGCCAAGUAGCGUGCAGGAAGACGGCCCUAUGGGUUGUAAACUGCUUUUAUAAGGGAAUAAAGUGGGUCACGUGUGACUUUUUGCAUGUACCUUAUGAAUAAGGACCGGCUAAUUCCGUG